AAGUCAUCACCAUGAUGAUCAGC
rnacentral:snRNA from 1 species